UCUUUCCUCCCAAGUGCUUGCACUCAAUUGGAAAGAGGAGUGGCGGACGGGUGAGUAACACGUGGGUAACCUACCCAUCAGAGGGGGAUAACACUUGGAAACAGGUGCUAAUACCGCAUAACAGUUUAUGCCGCAUGGCAUAAGAGUGAAAGGCGCUUUCGGGUGUCGCUGAUGGAUGGACCCGCGGUGCAUUAGCUAGUUGGUGAGGUAACGGCUCACCAAGGCCACGAUGCAUAGCCGACCUGAGAGGGUGAUCGGCCACACUGGGACUGAGACACGGCCCAGACUCCUACGGGAGGCAGCAGUAGGGAAUCUUCGGCAAUGGACGAAAGUCUGACCGAGCAACGCUGCGUGAGUGAAGAAGGUUUUCGGAUCGUAAAACUCUGUUGUUAGAGAAGAACAAGGACGUUAGUAACUGAACGUCCCCUGACGGUAUCUAACCAGAAAGCCACGGCUAACUACGUGCCAGCAGCCGCGGUAAUACGUAGGUGGCAAGCGUUGUCCGGAUUUAUUGGGCGUAAAGCGAGCGCAGGCGGUUUCUUAAGUCUGAUGUGAAAGCCCCCGGCUCAACCGGGGAGGGUCAUUGGAAACUGGGAGACUUGAGUGCAGAAGAGGAGAGUGGAAUUCCAUGUGUAGCGGUGAAAUGCGUAGAUAUAUGGAGGAACACCAGUGGCGAAGGCGGCUCUCUGGUCUG
rnacentral:rRNA from 1 species